rnacentral:rRNA from 1 species
AAAUUGAGAGUUUGAUCCUGGCUCAGGNNAAUACAUGCAAGUCGAACGCUUUGUGGUUCAACUGAUUUGAAGAGCUUGCUCAGAUAUGACGAUGGACAUUGCAAAGAGUGGCGAACGGGUGAGUAACACGUGGGAAACCUACCUCUUAGCAGGGGAUAACAUUUGGAAACAGAUGCUAAUACCGUAUAACAAUAGCAACCGCAUGGUUGCUACUUAAAAGAUGGUUCUGCUAUCACUAAGAGAUGGUCCCGCGGUGCAUUAGUUAGUUGGUGAGGUAAUGGCUCACCAAG